GUGAAUCAUCGAAUUUUUGAACGCAAAUUGCACUUUCUGGUAUUCCGUAAAGUAUGCCUGUUUGAGGGUCAUUUAAAUUAUAAUCGUUUUUUUUGCUACCCGUAUUGUGUUUUUUUGCAUCGGCAUGGAGUCGUUCUUUACCUUUGGUUUAAGUUACUUAAAAUUAUGUUCGAUUUUUGGACUUAUUUAAUUUAUUACUUACUUUCUUAAUAUCACUUAUUAGUUUCGAUCUUUCAC
rnacentral:misc_RNA from 1 species